AAUGAAAGAAGAAUCCCAAGUUUUGGGCCUGAGCAUCUGCAGAAUGGAGGUGCCAUUUACUGAGACUCAUAAGCCUGGGGGAGGGGUAGUUUGAGGGCGGAGACCAGGAAUUCUGCUUUGGAUGUGCUGAUUUUGAGAUGAUGGCUGACAUGUCCAAGAGUAUAUAUCCAUCGCCUCUCAGAUAGUACUUCAGCUCUUCCACCCUAGACUGGAGACCCCUCAAGUGCAGGGACUACCAAAUCCAGGGCAGACUGACUUUUAACCGUUUGGACACCUAAAUGCUGAAAAGAUCAAGGUGUCUUAUACUACAUGUAACUCAAAAUCAAAACAGUAUUAAACACGAAACCCCCAAAAUAACAUGUUGCUGUAAUGAAAAUGGCUUUACUCUGGAUUUUCUGAACGCAAAAUUCUGGAUGAUUUAAUUAAAUAUGAACUUUUCUC
rnacentral:lncRNA from 10 species